rnacentral:rRNA from 1 species
GACGAACGCUGGCGGCGUGCUUACCACAUGCAAGUCGAACGGAAAGGCCCUGCUUUUGUGGGGUGCUCGAGUGGCGAACGGGUGAGUAACACGUGAGUAACCUGCCCUGGACUUUGGGAUAACUUCAGGAAACUGGGGCUAAUACCGGAUAGGAGCUCCUGCUGCAGGGUGGGGGUUGGAAAGUUUGGGCGGUUGGGGAUGGACUCGCGGCUUAUCAGCUUGUUGGUGGGGUAGUGGCUUACCAAGGCGUUGACGGGUAGCCGGUCUGAGAGGGUGACCGGCCACAUUGGGACUGAGAUACGGCCCAGACUCCUACGGGAGGCAGCAGUGGGGAAUAUUGCACAAUGGGCGGAAGCCUGAUGCAGCAACGCCGCGUGCGGGAUGACGGCCUUCGGGUUGUAAACCGCUUUCGCCUGUGACGAAGCGUGAGUGACGGUAAUGGGUAAAGAAGCACCGGCUAACUACGUGCCAGCAGCCGCGGUAACAC